rnacentral:rRNA from 2 species
UUUGGUGAUUAUAGCAGCGAAGUUCCCCCUUCCUAUUUCGAACUGGGAAGUUAAGCCCGUUUACGCCGAUGGUACUGCAGUAACAUGUGGGAGAGUAGGUCGCCGCCUCUU